rnacentral:rRNA from 1 species
UACGUAGGUGGCAAGCGUUGUCCGGAUUUAUUGGGUUUAAAGGGUGCGUAGGCGGCUUAUUAAGUCAGUGGUGAAAGACGGUAGCUUAACUAUCGAGGUGCCAUUGAUACUGAUGAGCUUGAGUACUGAUGAGGUAGGCGGAAUGGACGGUGUAGCGGUGAAAUGCAUAGAUAUCGUCCAGAACACCGAUAGCGAAGGCAGCUUACUAAGGAGUAACUGACGCUGAGGCACGAAAGUGUGGGGAUCAAACAGGAUUAGAAACCCCCGUAGUCC